GUAAAGUGGUCAUUAUGCCAGGUUGCCAACUUGGCGGCCCGGGUUCAAUUCCCGG
rnacentral:tRNA from 1 species